GGCCAGGGCGGGGGCGAGGAUGGAGCCGCUCCGCUGGUCCUGGCGCCGGCACUCCAUGCCCGCCGCAAGCAGCAGGCGAGGUUUCAGAGGACUGGCAAGUAAUUAACGUUGUUCCAUUAUUCAAGAAGGAAAAUAGGAAUAUUCCUGUAAACAAGAGACCGCAUUAGGUGGGACUCUUCUAACACAAAAUGGAGAACAAUUGACUGGUAACUUCGGUCAUGAAUUACCCUUGUCGUACCCACAAUGAAUUUCAUAUAAAGGAACUUUUGAUGGCUUCAUUUAAAAUGCAAUACCCUUUUUGAUGCUGUUGGGCUAUGAUUGGGAAUGGAAAUCUGGGUUCUGUUUAACCAGGAAAGUUCACCUUUGGAUGCUCUUGGGAUAUCUGGGUUUUUAUCACCUCAGAGCUGAGCCAGGGCAUGUGAAUUAUUUAUCUUUGUACUUCACUGCUAUCCAGCCUACAGUGACCCCUCACCUGCUCCCCUUGGGCUUCAGCUUGCUUCUUAAACCAUAUUAGCUGAGAUUCAGCCUUUGACUGUGGAAUCGGCCUCACUUGUGUCUCAGAUUCUGAGCUGCUACUCGCAAAAGUCGAUUCUGCUGGUUUCUGGUCUCUGACGCAAGAUGCCA